rnacentral:lncRNA from 1 species
GUGUUUGAACUCAUUUGUGAAGUGUACCAAUUCAGUUGGAGGCCCCAGCGAGAUCUUGAGCCCCAGGACCAGGAGUUCAGAAGAUACAUUUCUAUCUGCUAUGAUGUUACACCCUAAAGACCACCAGGACCUUUCUGUCUCACAUGCAGCUGAACGUUCCCUUUGUGUUGUCUCUCCCAUUAGAAGAUUUCAGUCUCAUGUGCUCUGGCCCAUGGGCAAGCUUGGUUUUGCUGCAGGGAAGGGCAGACUGACCAGCAGAAGCAGUGCCCAUUCAGCAUUUGGGACUUCUCUGUUAAAAAAAAAAUUGAAAGUCUGGAGUGAUCAAAGCCUGGGGCAGUGAAAUAUAAAAGUGAAGGUCCUUCUGGAGAAAACCUUUAUUUAAAAAAGGGGGGGGGGCAGCUGGGUGGCUCAGUGGAUGGAGAGCCAGGUCUAGAGACAGGAGGUCCUGGGUUCAAAUCUGAUCUCAGACACUUCCCAGCUGUGUGACCCUGGGCAAGUCACUUAAACCCCAUUGCCUAGCCCUUACCACUCUUCUGCCUUGGAGCCAAUACACAGUAUUGAC